rnacentral:pre_miRNA from 1 species
AAAAAGUGUAGUUUUACAUUAUUAAUAUUCAACGUUUGAACAUCCAUCUUAUUUGAAAAAAAAUUGAUUAGUAUUUUUAUAUUGUUAUUAGAUGAUAAAACAUAAGUAGUAUUUUAUAUGUAACUAUUUUUUUAUUUCUUUCAUAAAGUUUUCAAAUAAAAUGAUGGUGAAACGUUGGUCAUUUAAAUCCACGGCUGCACUUAAA